AAAGAAGACCCUGUUGAGCUUGACUCUAGUCUGACUUUGUGAAGAGACAUGAGAGGUGUAGCAUAAGUGGGAGUUUUGGGACCACUCUUGACUGCAGUUUCGGCUGUAGUUAAGAGCCCUUAACAAUCAUGAAAUACCACUACUCUCAUCGUUUCUUUACUUACACGGUGAAAAGGAAAUUGAGAUAGUGUCUCUCUCUUCUGGACUUCGGUUCAGUUGCAGGAGGCCACCUAUCUCUAGAUUCUAGAGCCAAAUGUGGUUCCAUCCAUAUAUGCUGGAGACACCUAAUUACAUCUUGUUCUUCGGGACUUGGUGUGAUUAAAGACUUUAGUUUGGUUGGUACUUAACCACAUGAUCCUCGCCGUGGACAUUGUCAGGCGGGCAGUUUGACUGGGGCGGUACAUCUGUCAAAAGGUAACGCAGGUGUCCUAAGGCCAGCUCAGUGAGGCCAGAAACCUCACGUAGAGCAAAAGGGCAAAAGCUGGCUUGAUCCAGACUUUCAGUACGAAUACGGACCGCGAAAGCGGGGCCUAUCGAUCCUUUCGAUGAAUGAGAGUUUCAUCCGAGAGGUGUCAGAAAAGUUACCACAGGGAUAACUGGCUUGUGGCAGCCAAGCGUUCAUAGCGACGUUGCUUUUUGAUCCUUCGAUGUCG
rnacentral:rRNA from 1 species